rnacentral:rRNA from 1 species
GACGAACGCUGGCGGCGUGCUUAACACAUGCAAGUCGAACGGAAAGGCCCUGCUUUUGUGGGGUGCUCGAGUGGCGAACGGGUGAGUAACACGUGAGUAACCUGCCCUUGACUUUGGGAUAACUUCAGGAAACUGGGGCUAAUACCGGAUAGGGGCUCCUGCUGCAUGGUGGGGGUUGGAAAGUUUCGGCGGUUGGGGAUGGACUCGCGGCUUAUCAGCUUGUUGGUGGGGUAGUGGCUUACCAAGGCUUUGACGGGUAGCCGGCCUGAGAGGGUGACCGGCCACAUUGGGACUGAGAUACGGCCCAGACGCCUACGGGAGGCAGCAGUGGGGAGUAUUGCACAAUGGGCGGAAGCCUGAGGCAGCAACGCCGCGUGCGGGAUGACGGCCUUCGGGUUGUAAACCGCUUUCGCCUGUGACGAAGCGUGAGUGACGGUAAUGGGUAAAGAAGCACCGGCUAACUACGUG